rnacentral:snoRNA from 1 species
ACUUCCCCUAGAAGCCUUGCAGAUGCUGCUGUUGUGUCACAUUUGUGUCACUAAGUGGCAGAGAGAAGAGAGGCUAUGUCUACAUUCAGUGUUCUGACCCAUGAACGUUUGAAUGAUUUAGUCUGACAUA